AUUGAACGCUGGCGGCAGGCUUAACACAUGCAAGUCGAACGAGUGGCGGACGGGUGAGUAAUGCUUGGGAAUCUAGCUUAUGGAGGGGGAUGACUACGGGAAACUGUAGCUAAUAGCGCGUACCAUAGGAUGAGCCCACGUGGGAGUAGGUAGUUGGUGAGGUAAAGGCUCACCAAGCCGACGAUCUCUAGCUGGUCUGAGAGGAUGACCAUCCACACUGGGACUGAGACAAGGCCCAGACUCCGACGGGAGGCAGCAGUGGGGAAUAUUGCGCAAUGGGGGCAACCUGACGCAGCCAUGCCGCGUGAAUGAAGAAGGCCUUCGGGUUGUAAAGUUCUUUCGGUAGCGAGGCGGUAACUACAGAAGAAGCACCGGCUAACUCCGUGCCAGCAGCCGCGGUAAUUC
rnacentral:rRNA from 1 species